UCUCCCUUGUGUUUGUCUUUGCCUGGCUUCCAUUGGGCUCUUACGUAAUGUGGUGGUGAGAACCUGCUGGCUGAACAAACAGCUCACCAUCACAGAGGAUUAGGAGCUGUCAGACACGACCCACAUACGGUGACACUACCCUGCAGUGUCCUGCAAAACAGUGCAAAUUGUGAGACUGUGAGUCGACUUGGGUCACGGGAUUAUCAAUUGGAAGGCGUCACAGUUCUGAGCACUUCCCGCAGUGAGAUAAGUGCCGCCUUCGAGUACUGCUGCUCCUGUUACGCCUGCAGGAAGACACUUCUCAUGAGUUUCAACUCCCACUUCAAAAGCCAACAAUGAGUUUUGUCACCGGGCCAUGGUCACUCUGCUCCAGCAUCAGGGGGCUCUUGCUCCCUUGCACGGUGUGGGCGGAGUUUGGAUUCCUGGCUUCCCAGUCUGGCACACCUGGCGCUGAUCAGCUCACUCACCUGCCUGCCAUCAGCUAAUCACCUCCACUCCACAAAAGCCCUGGUCUCCUCACACAACGCUGCCAGAUCGUUUCACAACUCUCCAUGUGUGACUACCUCCUCUAAGCCUGCCUGCCUGCAAGACACCUCCACUCCAGCUGACGACGCCUUUCCCUCAUCCCUCAUUUGCCUAAAUUAAUCUGCCUGCCUUGUC